GUUUACGACCAAAUCACAUUGAAAGUACGACAUCUCGUCAGAUCUGUCAAAUUAAGCAACGUUAGAUUUUUUGUUAUAAUUUGAAUUGGCGACAGUCGGGAAUUGCAAGUAUUGAAGACA
rfam:Onchocerca ochengi, WGS project CAWC01000000 data, contig: 05887_8106